GACGAACGCUGGCGGCGUGCUUAACACAUGCAAGUCGAACGGAAAGGCCCUGCUUUUGUGGGGUGCUCGAGUGGCGAACGGGUGAGUAACACGUGAGUAACCUGCCCUUGACUUUGGGAUAACUUAAGGAAACUGGGGCUAAUACCGGAUAGGAGCUCCUGCUGCAUGGUGGGGGUUGGAAAGUUUCGGCGGUUGGGGAUGGACUCGCGGCUUAUCAGCUUGUUGGUGGGGUAGUGGCUUACCAAGGCUUUGACGGGUAGCCGGCCUGAGAGGGUGACCGGCCACAUUGGGACUGAGAUACGGCCCAGACUCCUACGGGAGGCAGCAGUGGGGAAUAUUGCACAAUGGGCGGAAGCCUGAUGCAGCAACGCCGCGUGCGGGAUGACGGCCUUCGGGUUGUAAACCGCUUUCGCCUGUGACGAAGCGUGAGUGACGGUAAUGGGUAAAGAAACACCGGCUAACUACGUG
rnacentral:rRNA from 1 species